GCGUCAGGAGGGAUGGGGGGGGAGGAGGAGGAGGGUUGGGAAAGGGGUGGUGGUGAAGGUGGUGGUUGGGGAAGAGAUUGUGGUGGUGAAUGAGUGUGUAUGGGGUGUUGUGAGAGAGAGAGAGAGAGAGAGAGAGAGAGAGAGAGAGAGAGAGAGAGCAUACACACACCACCAAUCAUGUAUUCCGGACUCAUCAACUCUCUCUCUCUCUCUCUCUCUCUCUCUCUCUGUAACGCUCUCGACGAUUUUGCGUUGGCGGGGAGUCGAAACGAAGCACCAUGAAGCACUACGCGACACACCGAAACACCGAACACACAUACGAACGAACACUAUUGGAACAGACUCUCUCGAUGACGUUUCCUUUUCCUCCUUUUUUUUAUCUAUACGUGAAACUUUUGGAAGACUACAUUACGAAACUGAUACUGAAACACGAUUAAUACUUGUUUCACCUUAUGAUUCGGCGAUGAAUGAAACAGGAAAGAAAACUAAUGUACGAUGAGGGGGGGGGGGGGGUACUUUUUCAUUCUUCAUUUUUCUUCAUAAGCGCGAAACUGGAAGGUGAAACUCGAAGAAACUAUAGGAAGACGGAGUAUAGUCAAAAUAUAUUCCUUACACUUCUACGCUAAACCACGAAACCGGAAUAUAACAGCAAGGAAAGGGAUGAAGGGAAGGGAAUAACGAAAGGGGGCGGGGCUUAUUCGCGAAGGUUAUGUGAACGGAGCAUAGUCGGAUGAUCUUUUCUUACAAUGCGAAACAAAACUACGAAAGCGAGACAAUACAGCGAACUUACUCAGGCAUACGUUAUAGGUCCACGAAACCGGAACAUUACAGCAAGGGAAGGGGGCGGAGCUUGUUCGCGAAGGUUAUGUGAACGAAGCAUAAGUCAGAUGAUCUUACGAUGCGACGAAAUACUACGAAAACGAUACAGUACAGCGAACUUAAUCUGGCAUACGCGAAGUAAAGGCAACGUUACCUGCUAGUUCAUUAAUAUAUUCGUGUAUUUACAGAGCUUAAAGGUAACAUAGUGUGUAUUUAGAGGAAGGACUAAGGUGGGACUCGUAUAAAACUAGUCAUUACCAAGGCGAGUGUGUGUGUUUAGAGAUGAUAGAUAAAGAAAUAUACAGAUAGAUAAAUAGAUUGAUUGAUAGAUAAAGAAAGAAAGGAAGAAGGUAAGAAAGAAAGUAAAAAAGAAAUUAAGAAAGAAAGAAUGAAUGAAAGAAAGAAAUUAAGGAAGUGAAUGUGACAAAGAAAGAAAGAAAAAAAGAAAGAAAUUAAGAAAGUAAAUGUAACAAAGAAAUUAAGAGAAAGAAAGAAUGAAUGAAUGAAUGGAUGAAAGAAAUUGAAAAAGUAAGAAAGAAUGAAAUGAAGUAAAUCAAUUAAGAAAGAAGGAAAUAGAAGAGAAUUUAAGACUGAAAGAAAGAAACUGAAAAGAAAGAAAGAAUGAAAUGAAGUAAAUCGAUUAAGAAAGAAGGAAAUAGAAGAGAAUUUAAGACUGAAAGAAAGAAACUGAAAAGAAAGAAAGAAUGAAGUAAAUCGAUUAAGAAAGAAGGAAAUGAAAGGGAGAAAUUGAGACAAAGCAAGAAACUGAAAAAGAUAGAAAGGAAUGAAAAUUAAGAAAGAAAGAAAGAAAUGAAAGAGAAAUUAUGAUUGAAAGCAAGAAAAUGAAAAAGAAAGACAAAAAGAAUGAAAAAAGAUAGACUGAAGAUAGAAAGAAAAAAAGACAAAAAAAAAGAAAAAAAAGAAAUAGGAAAAAGGGAAAAAGAAAACAAAAAAAGACAAAAAACAAAAUAGAAAGAAAGAAAAAAGAAAGACAAAGAAAAAAGAUAGAAAAAAAAGAAGAUAGAUGAGUUAUCCUAAGCGUUGAACAAACACACACACACACACACACACACACACACACACACACACACACACACACACACACACACACACACACACACACAAAUAUCUAGCUAUUACUGACAUUAUCUUCCUCCUAAUAAUAUCUUCGUAGCGAUAUUACUAACACGAUAUUUCUUCAUUAAUUCAACUUCAUCGCUUUUCUUCAUUUUUUUUGUAAUAUAGAAAACGGGGGGCGGAGUAUUUACAGAGCGGUGACUAUUAUAAUAUUGAAGAAGUAGUAGUAGUAGUAGUAGUAGUAGUAGUAGUAGUAGGAGGAGGAGGAGGAGGAGCUACGUCUGAUAUCCCACUAAUGAGGACACACACAUAGGAUAUAGGAUAGGAUAAGGAUAGGAGAGGAAGGAAGGGAGGAGGAGGAGGAGGAGGAGGAGGAGGAGGAGAAUCGAUAACAAGGAAUAGUGAAGGAAAUAUGUGUGAAUGAAUAUGUAGAAAAUGAAUGAAUGAAUGAAGGAAGAGAAAGAAGAAGGAAAGAGAAGGAAGAGGAGGAAAAGAAACAAAAAAAGAUGUAAAAAAAAGACAAGGAAAGAGUGAAAAGGAGAAAUGAAAAGACGCAGAGAAAAAGAAAAAGAAAAAAUCGGAUUACGGAAAAAAAAAAGGAAUGAAGGAAGAGUGAAAAAAACAAGCUGGCAAGGAAGGAAGGAAGGAAGGAAGGAA